CACGUAGGGUGCGAGCGUUGUCCGGAAUUAUUGGGCGUAAAGAGCUCGUAGGCGGUGUGUCGCGUCGGCCGUGAAAACCUGCAGCUUAACUGUGGGCUUGCGGUCGAUACGGGCAUCACUGGAGUUCGGCAGGGGAGACUGGAAUUCCUGGUGUAGCGGUGAAAUGCGCAGAUAUCAGGAGGAACACCGGUGGCGAAGGCGGAUCUCUGGGCCUUACCUGACGCUCAGGUGCGAAAGCUAGGGGAGCGAACAGG
rnacentral:rRNA from 1 species